ACUCCUACGGGAGGCAGCAGUAGGGAAUCUUCCACAAUGGGCGCAAGCCUGAUGGAGCAACACCGCGUGAGUGAAGAAGGGUUUCGGCUCGUAAAGCUCUGUUGUUAAAGAAGAACACGUAUGAGAGUAACUGUUCAUACGUUGACGGUAUUUAACCAGAAAGUCACGGCUAACUACGUGCCAGCAGCCGCGGUAAUACGUAGGUGGCAAGCGUUAUCCGGAUUUAUUGGGCGUAAAGAGAGUGCAGGCGGUCUUCUAAGUCUGAUGUGAAAGCCUUCGGCUUAACCGGAGAAGUGCAUCGGAAACUGGAUAACUUGAGUGCAGAAGAGGGUAGUGGAACUCCAUGUGUAGCGGUGGAAUGCGUAGAUAUAUGGAAGAACACCAGUGGCGAAGGCGGCUACCUGGUCUGCAACUGACGCUGAGACUCGAAAGCAUGGGUAGCGAACAGGAUUAGAUACCCUGGUAGGAUAGCG
rnacentral:rRNA from 1 species